rnacentral:pre_miRNA from 1 species
AAGAUACUCCCUCCGUUCCAAAUUACUUGUCGCAGAAAUGGAUGUAUCUAAAACUAAAAUACAUCUAGAUACAUCCAUACCCGCGACAAGUAAUUCGGAACGGAGGGAGUAUUAU